rnacentral:rRNA from 1 species
GCAGUAGCCACGGGAAUACGGAGGGAGCUAGCGUUGUUCGGAAUUACUGGGCGUAAAGCGCGCGUAGGCGGUUACUCAAGUCAGAGGUGAAAGCCCGGGGCUCAACCCCGGAACUGCCUUUGAAACUAGGUGACUAGAAUCUUGGAGAGGUCAGUGGAAUUCCGAGUGUAGAGGUGAAAUUCGUAGAUAUUCGGAGGAACACCAGUGGCGAAGGCGGCUCACUGGUCCAUUACUGACGCUGAGGUGCGAAAGCGUGGGGAGCAAACAGGAUUAGAUACCCCAGUAGUCCCUGUCUCUUAUAC